ACCCGGCAGGCCUUGGGACUCUGGUCGGCCUGGUCGAGAAAACCCGAGGCUACAGACACGCAGGGGUCCUUUCUGGUGGGGACCCCCGGGCCCAGCCUAUCCCAGAAACGUUGGGGGAUGCGUUCUCCCCGCUCUGGAGGGGUCUGUCCGUGUCCAGUCUCCUCUGUGCCUCAGUUUCCUCCUCCAGGAAAGGGGAAUUGACAGCAUUUCUCAACCUCAUAGGGUCGUUGGAAGAACCACAGAGGCCAUGGCUGAGCAGUGUUCCCGAGUCCUCGCUGUCCACGGAACCGGAAGCUGUUUCCAUUCUCAUCAUUGCUCCUGCAUUUUCUGCAGGGCCCCUUCAGACCCAGGUCCCAUCACGAGAGUCAGAAUCUGGUGACAGUGCGUCAGCUGAUGGGGUGAAGGCUGCGGAGUUGUGAGAGAAGGCAGAACCCCCCUUGGAGGUGAAUGUCAAGCCUGAAGAGGAAGGAUGGGAAGCGGGAGCUGGCCGUGACCUGGGCAGAGGCUCCCAAGCAAAAGCAGGUCGGGGCAGCAGGAGAUAACGCCGCGCGCACAGCCUGGAGCUGCGGUCUUCACACUGUGUGUGUUCCUAGUACCCUGGGCUGCCUGGCGAAGCCUGGGUGUCCUUUUCAGAACGAUGUCGUCAAGUAGAUUUAAACGCAUAAAACAAAGACCAUGGGGUCACAAAGGGGAACAAUUCUAUCAAAACACAGUUAUCAAAAUACAUGAAACAAUUCAUGACAGCGUGGCCUAUG
rnacentral:lncRNA from 1 species